GUGAGGAAUAUUGGACAAUGGGCGCAAGCCUGAUCCAGCCAUGCCGCGUGCAGGAAGACGCAUCUAUGGUGUGUAAACUGCUUUUGUACGGGAAGAAACACUCCCUCGUGAGGGAGCUUGACGGUACCGUAAGAAUAAGGAUCGGCUAACUCCGUGCCAGCAGCCGCGGUAAUACGGAGGAUCCAAGCGUUAUCCGGAAUCAUUGGGUUUAAAGGGUCCGUAGGAGGUUUAAUAAGUCAGUGGUGAAAGCCCAUCGCUCAACGAUGGAACGGCCAUUGAUACUGUUAGACUUGAAUUACAAGGAAGUAACUAGAAUAUGUAGUGUAGCGGUGAAAUGCUUAGAUAUUACAUGGAAUACCAAUUGCGAAGGCAGGUUACUACUUGUGGAUUGACGCUGAUGGACGAAAGCGUGGGGAGCGAACAGGAUUAGAAACCCGGGUAGUCC
rnacentral:rRNA from 1 species